rnacentral:pre_miRNA from 1 species
CAUGUACUCCCUCCGUCUGGAAAUACUUGUCAUCAAAAUGGAUAAAAGGAGAUGUAUCUAGACGUAUUUUAGUUCUAGAUACAUCCUUUUUUGUCCAUUUUGAUGACAAGUAUUUUCAGACGGAGGGAGUAUAUU